AACGAACGCUGGCGGCAGGCCUAACACAUGCAAGUCGAACGCCCCGCAAGGGGAGUGGCAGACGGGUGAGUAACGCGUGGGAACCUACCUUUCGGUGCGGAAUAACUCCGGGAAGCCGGAGCUAAUACCGCAUACGCCCUUCGGGGGAAAGAUUUAUCGCCGAUAGAUGGGCCCGCGUCGGAUUAGCUUGUUGGUGAGGUAACGGCUCACCAAGGCGACGAUCCGUAGCUGGUCUGAGAGGAUGAUCAGCCACACUGGGACUGAGACACGGCCCAGACUCCUACGGGAGGCAGCAGUGGGGAAUAUUGGACAAUGGGGGAAACCCUGAUCCAGCAAUGCCGCGUGGGUGAUGAAGGUCUUCGGAUUGUAAAGCCCUUUUGGCAGGGACGAUGAUGACGGUACCUGCAGAAUAAGCUCCGGCUAACUUCGUGCCAGCCGCCGCGGUAA
rnacentral:rRNA from 1 species